GGACCACACCUGCCGCGAAGGUUACAGUCGGUGAAGUAGAUCGGGGACACGAACUUCUCCACCCGCUCGAAAGUGGUGCGCCAGUGCUUCAAGAACGGCGCUGCCGCCAUGGCGAUGCGCCUUCCCUCCCCGGAAGAUCCUUGGUGCUGCCGGCUCGUUGCACCGCUUGGAACCAAAGGUUCCGGCAUCCAACCAGCUUACAGACCCGAGCAGCUUUUCUGGGAACACCACGGCUUUUGCAAGAGGCUGGCUCUGGGGAGCCUCCCAGUGAAACCCGGAAGCUGAGCCUUCGCGGUUCUCACCUCAGCCUUGCUGUCAGACAGCUGGGUAAAUUAUUUUAAAAUACAAUGGUACUAAAUCUGAAGCCACAUGGUACUAUGGUACACAAGAAGCUAGAGCAGUUAUGCUAGCACAUCAAAGCAUAUUUCUUUAAUAAAAAAUUGACAGUAUGU
ensembl:antisense Man2c1os mannosidase, alpha, class 2C, member 1, opposite strand